rnacentral:miRNA from 1 species
UCCAGUGUCUGUGAUUUCGUUCU